GGCCCCGUUGUGUAUCGGUUAGCACGCCAGGUUUUCAACCUGGAAGGGCGGGUUCGACUCCCGCCGGGGCUA
rnacentral:tRNA from 1 species